AUGUUUGCCUGACUCAGUAAACUUUCUGGGAGAGCCAGUGUGAGUGGGAGAGAGACCAGAGGGAGGAGGAAGGAUGCUGGCCUUCCAUCUGAGAGUAAUGAAGGACGAAGGAGGUGGACUUGGGGAAUGUGAAAUUGUCUGGCCUCCCUCACAGAGGGAUCCAUGAACAAGAUAACUUCCAGGAGCUCAAGAAGGAGAUAAACUUCUCUCAGGUGUUUUCAGCAACUUGCACAGCUGGCUCAUGAUGGAGAAGUUUCCUAUGAAGAAGAAGUUGGUCACACUCAAGCAAGAAAGCAAGGAAGUACAAGGAAGUACAGGCUGAUUGGGCCCUCAUUCAUCAAUAUUUGGUGGACUUGAACCUGAGUGGUAAAGAUGAAAAGAAGGAGACCAGCAACCUCGAGACACGAGAACAUCAGGUCGGGGCAAGCAGCUCAGUCAGGCUAAUACUUUCUGACACCAUUUGCCCAUUGCAUCAUUCUUUGCUUCCCCCCACCACCUUUCUAAUCCAUUCUCCCAAGCAGCUACCUACCU
rnacentral:lncRNA from 1 species